GAAUGCCUGCAUGGGGUCUGCACAAGCACCAAAAGACACAUUCCAGCAAACAUACUGCAUACCUAUUUAAUCAUUAAUAUUUUUGUCUUUUUAUAAUUAUAAGUACAACCAGUUGAUUUGAAACAGCAUAUCAAAGAUACUAGCUGGUGGUGUUUUUCUACAAUCAAACACCUACUACAUAUUUGUCAGAAUUCUCCUUCUAUUUCUUUAGAAAUCAAUUUAGUAAGCCACAAAGAGUUUGCAUCUUUACACCAUAAAAGAAAUCACACAAAUAGACACAUCAACUACAAAGCCAAUGACUGUUGGAUUUAACCAUCAACAUUGUAAUAUCUCCAUUGUAAAAAGCAUAUAAACGUGUUAAAAAAGUUGAGGGCAAGUGACUGAUUAUGAACACGCUAAAAAAAAGAGCAAAUGAUUCAUAGUCAUUCAAGUGUAGACUUUGCAUCAGAUAUAGAAACAAAAAACAUUGCCAACACAACUACUAAGCCUAUUUAAGUAUUCUAGCACAUAUACUGAUAGGUAUGCAGUAAAAAGUAACUUCGAGAAAUUCUACGAAAACACACCACCCCUGUUGUCAGCCUUCUAGAAUACUUUGCUACCCAUUUUAUGGCCCAGUUAAAGAAACUCAAAACAAGCUGGCAAAGACUGGCAAAGGAAUUUCUAGAAUACUAAACAAGCUAAGCAGAUAUAUAAAUAUCAUGAAGUAGCAAUCAAUAAAGUAGUGAAUGAAUG
rnacentral:misc_RNA from 1 species